GGCGCUCGGACCGCGACCCCAGGUCAGGCG
rnacentral:rRNA from 4 species